GUGCCCUAAUCGGGUACGGGGACCGUGUCAGGCGGGCAGUUUGACUGGGGCGGUCGCCUCCUAAAGAGUAACGGAGGCGUUCCAAGGUUCCCUCAGAAUGGUUGGAAAUCAUUCGAAGAGUGCAAAGGCAGAAGGGAGCUUGACUGCGAGACCUACAAGUCGAGCAGGGACGAAAGUCGGACUUAGUGAUCCGGUGGUACCGCAUGGAAGGGCCAUCGCUCAACGGAUAAAAGCUACCCUGGGGAUAACAGGCUUAUCUCCCCCAAGAGUCCACAUCGACGGGGAGGUUUGGCACCUCGAUGUCGGCUCAUCGCAUCCUGGGGCUGAAGUAGGUCCCAAGGGUUGGGCUGUUCGCCCAUUAAAGCGGUACGCGAGCUGGGUUCAGAACGUCGUGAGACAGUUCGGUCCCUAUCUGUCGUGGGCGUAGGAAAUUUGAGAGGAGCUGUCCUUAGUACGAGAGGACCGGGAUGGACGUACCGCUGGUGCACCAGUUGUUCCGCCAGGAGCAUGGCUGGGUAGCUACGUACGGACGGGAUAAGCGCUGAAAGCAUCUAAGCGUGAAGCCCCCCUCAAGAUGAGAUUUCCCAAUUAGUAAGACCCCUUGAAGACGACGAGGUAGAUAGGUUGGAGGUGGAAGUGCAGUAAUGCAUGGAGCUGACCAAUACUAAUCGGUCGAGGGCUUAUCCUA
rnacentral:ncRNA from 1 species